rnacentral:rRNA from 1 species
AGUGAACGCUGGCGGUAGGCCCAACACAUGCAAGUCGAACGGCAGCACAGUAAGAGCUUGCUCUUACGGGUGGCGAGUGGCGGACGGGUGAGGAAUACAUCGGAAUCUACUUUUUCGUGGGGGAUAACGUAGGGAAACUUACGCUAAUACCGCACACGACCUACGGGUGAAAGCAGGGGAUCUUCGGACCUUGCGCGAUUGAAUGAGCCGAUGUCGGAUUAGCUAGUUGGCGGGGUAAAGGCCCACCAAGGCGACGAUCCGUAGCUGGUCUGAGAGGAUGAUCAGCCACACUGGAACUGAGACACGGUCCAGACUCCUACGGGAGGCAGCAGUGGGGAAUAUUGGACAAUGGGCGCAAGCCUGAUCCAGCCAUACCGCGUGGGUGAAGAAGGCCUUCGGGUUGUAAAGCCCUUUUGUUGGGAAAGAAAAGCAGCAGGUUAAUACCCCGCUGUUCUGACGGUACCCAAAGAAUAAGCACCGGCUAACUUCGUG